UACUAGUCACCUCUAGUAGGUUUCACGCAAUUUCAGCCUCGAGACUUACAUUUUCUAAGUAUUAAGACAACUCACACUUCUUUAAACAAACUCUGCCUUGAAUCCUCUAGGAAAGUACAGAAUUCUUUUGUAGAACGAACUAUCAAUAUAUUUAUGUUUUGGGGAUAAGCCUCCCAGCAAACUGUAAUACAGUUGAAAGGAACACUUGCUUAGUACUGACUGGGCUUCUACUUAUUAAUAUGUACUCAUUUUUACUGUCUACCAGCAGCUGAUACAGAGGUGUCAUUUGUGACAUCUUAAUUCCAACAGGGAAGUGCUAUCACACGUCCAGUGAAUUGUGGAUAUAUCACAGCUGGCAGAACACCUGGAAUUCACAGUGCUCUUUCUAGCAUGAAAUACUAAGAUGCUUGCCAAUCACUAAGAUGACCUAACCCCCAUGUGUCUGCAGACCAGGCUCAUGGUUGAGCAAAGCAGAUCACAAGCUGCCUUGCAAGCCUCCGGCUGCCCAUGUGCUCCUCCCUGUCUUGGUUCCUAUUGCCCCUGAUUAUGUGUUAGUUCUCAUUGUGCAGUUCAGAUCAAGAAGAGGUACUAAAUGGAACUGCUAAAAAUACAUUUCCAUAUUAAAUCUGUGAACACAUUAAAAAUAUCAUAAACUA